rnacentral:tRNA from 1 species
CAAAGUGUAGCUUAGCUAAAGCAUCUCGCUUACACCGAGAACACACCCGUUCAACCCGGGUCAUUUUGA